CACCAGGCGCGAAAACUUUACAAUGCUGGCAACAGCGAUAAGGGGACCUCGAGUGCCAGGAUACAAUCUUGGCUGUCGUAAUGCCUAAAAAGCAUUGCAUAGCAAGGGCCGGGCAAGACCGGUGCCAGCCGCCGCGGUAACACCGGCGGCUCGAGUGGUAACCGCUAUUAUUGGGUCUAAAGGGUCUGUAGCCGGCCGGAUAAGUCUUUUGGGAAAUCUGGCAGCUUAACUGUCAGGCUUUCAGAAGAUACUGUUUCGGCUCGAGGCCGGGAGAGGUGAGAGGUACUUCAGGGGUAGGGGUGAAAUCUUGUAAUCCUUGAAGGACCACCAGUGGCGAAGGCGUCUCACCAGAACGGUCCUGACGGCAAGGGACGAAAGCUAGGGGCACGAACCGGAUUAGAUACCCGGGUAGUCCUAGCCGUAAACGAUACUCGCUAGGUGUCGGCCACGGUGCGACCGUGGUCGGUGCCGUAGGGAAGCCGUGAAGCGAGCCACCUGGGAAGUACGGCCGCAAGGCUGAAACUUAAAGGAAUUGGCGGGGG
rnacentral:rRNA from 1 species